rnacentral:lncRNA from 1 species
UGUAUGGCAUGUCAAAAAAAUUUCUAAUUGAAAAUUUAAUCAUUGAUUUAUUGAAUAAAUAUUGUACGUCAAUGUUGUGCGAUCGGUUGCUUUCCCCAGAGAUUUAGAUCGUCGUCGAAAAUGAUCUACUGGUGCUGGUGUGAGUCAAAUAAAACCAAGCUCAAGGUUAUGUGAUAUAUAUUUAUGAAAAUCCAUUAUGAUGAAUCUCAAUAUGAACAACAUCGUCAGGAUGGCUCAAAAAAAAUUAAAACCAAAUGCAGUACCAACUUUGUUUGGUGAUGUUUUGAUAGAUUAUUUGAGUAAAAAAUUUGAUACAUGAUGUUAGUUGGACUUCAUUUGAAUCACUAAAGCAGUUGUCAACAAUAAACUUAGGUAAAUCUUUUUCCAGACCAUUGCUUGAUGUAAUUAUAGAUGGAUAUACCACUGGCAACAAAAAGAGUUUAUUCAAGUUACCAAAGUCUUAUAAUACCAAAUCUUUACCAAGUGAUGAGCAGCAGAUUGAAUUGCCACUGGUAAACUUAGAUGAGGAUCAUUUAGUAUCAAUUUUUACUCAUAAUAUUUAUCCUGAUACUUUCAACAGUUUUUUAUCAAUUCUUGCUGAUGAAUUACAAGCAGAAAUAAUGAAAAAAUAUAAUAAAGGAGUUAUUAAAUUUAAUUUCAUGCUUCAAAAUCAACAUCGUCUUUAUCACCAUGAAAUUUCGAGUUUAAACUAGGAAGUAGAAAGCUUAAAGAAAAUAAAUAUUAGUUUAGACUGUGAAUUACGAGUUGAAUAAGAAAAAAGGAUACACCCAGAAAGACAACGAGAAAAAAUUAAAAACAAGUUUAACAAGCUUCUUAAUGUAUUUGAAAAAUUGUCCAUUUUUAAAAAACCUUUUAAUUGAGUUAUUUUAUUUACUUAUUCAUAGUAUGCGACAAGCAAAAGCCUA